rnacentral:lncRNA from 1 species
GGAGGGGGGGGCGGGUGGGUUCUCGGGGACCGGGGGACGCCCCCGUGACCCCGGGUGUCACCGCGCCGUCCCUGUGUCCCCAGAGCGCCCGCAGCGGCCGCGUCCUCCCCCCGGGUCCCUUUGUGGUGCGGGACAGGCAGCAGGAGCAGCACUUUGGCUUCAGCCUGGCCCAGGCCCUCAGCCGUGCCCGCCGCCGCCCUCUGCUCCAGGGCUACGAGGUCCACGUCACCCCCGGCGUCCGCCCCGAACCCGAGCACAUGCGGGACAUCGUCACCUGCAGCGGCGGCACCUUCCUGCCCGCCAUGCCCCACACUUAUGGGGUGAGGGACAGCGCGGGACGUGGUGGCACCGGGGAGGGGACUGGGGGGACGCUGGGAGCCACCAUCGAGGGGAACAAAGGGGCAAUGAAGGGACGCUGGGGUCCCAGAGCCACCAGGGAGGGGACAGAGGGGUUCCAGAGCCAAUGGGGAGGGGACACAGGGGACACUGGGGUCCCAGUGCCAAUGGGGAGGGGACAGAGGGGACAUUCGGGCCCCAGUGCCAAUGGGGAGGGGACACAGGGGACACUGGGGUCCCAAAGCCAAUGGGGAGGGGACACAGGGGACACUGGGGUCCCAAAGCCAAUGGGGAGGGGACAGAGGGGAUGUUGGGGUCCCAAAGCCAAUGGGGAGGGGACAGAGGGGACACUGGGGUCCCAAAGCCAAUGGGGAGGAGACAGAGGGGACACUGGGNACCCUCACGUCCCCAAGGUGGCUUUCCCCCGGACACAGCCCCGGCUUGGGACCCCGAGGAGCCCACGCAGUGCUUCUACCACCCCGAGGAGGAGGAGGAGGAGGGGGACGAGGAGAAGGAGAAGGAGGAAGAGCCCCCCCGGAGCCACGUGGCCUCACGUGUCACCCCAGUGACGGUGACACCAGCCCAGGAGGACUCGGGCACCGUCACAGCCCCCAGCGAGGACGUGACGGAGGGGCCGCGCCGCAGCCAGCGCCAGACCCGCGGCCGUGGGGGCGGAGCCAGCCGGGCAGGGGGCGGGGCUAACACGAAAGGGGGCGGGGCGACGUCGGACCCCGCCCCCUUGCGCCGCAGUCCCCGCCUCCUGGCCCGGCCCCCUCCCGCUGAGCCCAAGAAGGGGCGUGGCCAAGAGGAGCCCCGCCCACCGCCCACGUCCCGCCCCCGGAGAGGCCACGCCCCCUCGCAGAAGGAAACGCGGAAGGAGGAGCCAGCUGACGUCACCCGGCCCCAGCUCCGCCCCCGGGGCGGCUCCGCCUCCUCUUCCCUCAAGGUUUGGCCCCAAUGUCCCCCUGUCUGUCCCCCCCCUCGCGUCCCUCUGUCCCCCCAGGGCGUCCCUCUUCCAUCCGCACCCCCCUCCCCCACCCACUGAGCGUCCCCACUCUUUCACAAUGUCCCCAACGUGUCCCCAGCGCGUUCCCAUGCCCCCACACUCUCCCCACAUGCACUGCAUGGGGCUGGUGGCCGCCCUGGGGACGUCCCCGUUGUGCCCCCCCUCACCCUACAACCCGCUCACGGGGUUGGCGGCCGUCCCAGGGGCAUCCCCCC